rnacentral:rRNA from 1 species
CCUACGGGGGGCAGCAGUGGGGAAUAUUGCACAAUGGGCGCAAGCCUGAUGCAGCCAUGCCGCGUGUAUGAAGAAGGCUUUCGGGUUGUAAAGUACUUUCAGCGAGGAGGAAGGCGUUAAGGUUAAUAACCUUAGCGAUAGACGUUACUCGCAGAAGAAGCACCGGCUAACUCCGUGCCAGCAGCCGCGGUAAUACGGAGGGUGCAAGCGUUAAUCGGAAUUACUGGGCGUAAAGCGCACGCAGGCGGUCUGUUAAGUCGGAUGUGAAAGCCCCGGGCUCAACCUGGGAACUGCAUUCGAAACUGGCAGGCUAGAGUCUUGUAGAGGGGGGUAGAAUUCCAGGUGUAGCGGUGAAAUGCGUAGAGAUCUGGAGGAAUACCGGUGGCGAAGGCGGCCCCCUGGACAAAGACUGACGCUCAGGUGCGAAAGCGUGGGGAGCAAACAGGAUUAGAUACCCCCGUAGUC